rnacentral:rRNA from 1 species
UACCUAACAGCUAGCCCACCCCCACAAUUCAACGAACCCCUGUUAAUAACCCCUAAUACCCCAGUAUUUAUUUUAAACAAACCAUUUUCCCCCCUUAGUAUAGGCGAUAGAAAAGGGCCUACGGCGCAACAGAAAAAGUACCGCAAGGGAACGCUGAAAGAGAAGUGAAAUAACUCAAUAAAGCCUAAAAAAGCAGAGAUUCAAGCUCGUACCUUUUGCAUCAUGAUUAAGCAAGUGUAACCCAAGCAAAGCGUACUUUAGUUUGACAUCCCGAAACUAGGUGAGCUACUCCAAGACAGCCUAUCAAUAGGGCACACCCUUCUCUGUGGCAAAAGAGUGGGGGGAGCUUUGAGUAGAGGCGAUAAACCUACCGAACCUAGUUAUAGCUGGUUGUCCAAGAAAUGAAUAGAAGUUCAGCCUUUCGGCUUCUUUUUUCACCUUAGUCUAACCCCUGUAGAUGCACUAAAGAAACCGAAAGAGUUAGUCAAAGGGGGUACAGCCCCUUUGAAUCAAGACACAACUUUGCCAGGAGGGUAAAGAUCAUA